rnacentral:rRNA from 1 species
UUAAGCGACUAAGCGUACACGGUGGAUGCCCUGGCAGUCAGAGGCGAUGAAGGACGUGCUAAUCUGCGAUAAGCGUCGGUAAGGUGAUAUGAACCGUUAUAACCGGCGAUUUCCGAAUGGGGAAACCCAGUGUGAUUCGUCACACUAUCAUUAACUGAAUCCAUAGGUUAAUGAGGCGAACCGGGGGAACUGAAACAUCUAAGUACCCCGAGGAAAAGAAAUCAACCGAGAUUCCCCCAGUAGCGGCGAGCGAACGGGGAGGAGCCCAGAGCCUGAAUCAGUGUGUGUGUUAGUGGAAGCGUCUGGAAAGGCGCGCGAUACAGGGUGACAGCCCCGUACACAAAAAUGCACAUAUUGUGAGCUCGAUGAGUAGGGCGGGACACGUGGUAUCCUGUCUGAAUAUGGGGGGACCAUCCUCCAAGGCUAAAUACUCCUGACUGACCGAUAGUGAACCAGUACCGUGAGGGAAAGGCGAAAAGAACCCCGGCGAGGGGAGUGAAAAAGAACCUGAAACCGUGUACGUACAAGCAGUGGGAGCACGCUUAGGCGUGUGACUGCGUACCUUUUGUAUAAUGGGUCAGCGACUUAUAUUCUGUAGCAAGGUUAACCGAAUAGGGGAGCCGAAGGGAAACCGAGUCUUAACUGGGCGUUAAGUUGCAGGGUAUAGACCCGAAACCCGGUGAUCUAGCCAUGGGCAGGUUGAAGGUUGGGUAACACUAACUGGAGGACCGAACCGACUAAUGUUGAAAAAUUAGCGGAUGACUUGUGGCUGGGGGUGAAAGGCCAAUCAAACCGGGAGAUAGCUGGUUCUCCCCGAAAGCUAUUUAGGUAGCGCCUCGUGAAUUCAUCUCCGGGGGUAGAGCACUGUUUCGGCAAGGGGGUCAUCCCGACUUACCAACCCGAUGCAAACUGCGAAUACCGGAGAAUGUUAUCACGGGAGACACACGGCGGGUGCUAACGUCCGUCGUGAAGAGGGAAACAACCCAGACCGCCAGCUAAGGUCCCAAAGUCAUGGUUAAGUGGGAAACGAUGUGGGAAGGCCCAGACAGCCAGGAUGUUGGCUUAGAAGCAGCCAUCAUUUAAAGAAAGCGUAAUAGCUCACUGGUCGAGUCGGCCUGCGCGGAAGAUGUAACGGGGCUAAACCAUGCACCGAAGCUGCGGCAGCGACGCUUAUGCGUUGUUGGGUAGGGGAGCGUUCUGUAAGCCUGUGAAGGUGUGCUGUGAGGCAUGCUGGAGGUAUCAGAAGUGCGAAUGCUGACAUAAGUAACGAUAAAGCGGGUGAAAAGCCCGCUCGCCGGAAGACCAAGGGUUCCUGUCCAACGUUAAUCGGGGCAGGGUGAGUCGACCCCUAAGGCGAGGCCGAAAGGCGUAGUCGAUGGGAAACAGGUUAAUAUUCCUGUACUUGGUGUUACUGCGAAGGGGGGACGGAGAAGGCUAUGUUGGCCGGGCGACGGUUGUCCCGGUUUAAGCGUGUAGGCUGGUUUUCCAGGCAAAUCCGGAAAAUCAAGGCUGAGGCGUGAUGACGAGGCACUACGGUGCUGAAGCAACAAAUGCCCUGCUUCCAGGAAAAGCCUCUAAGCAUCAGGUAACAUCAAAUCGUACCCCAAACCGACACAGGUGGUCAGGUAGAGAAUACCAAGGCGCUUGAGAGAACUCGGGUGAAGGAACUAGGCAAAAUGGUGCCGUAACUUCGGGAGAAGGCACGCUGAUAUGUAGGUGAAGCGACUUGCUCGUGGAGCUGAAAUCAGUCGAAGAUACCAGCUGGCUGCAACUGUUUAUUAAAAACACAGCACUGUGCAAACACGAAAGUGGACGUAUACGGUGUGACGCCUGCCCGGUGCCGGAAGGUUAAUUGAUGGGGUUAGCGCAAGCGAAGCUCUUGAUCGAAGCCCCGGUAAACGGCGGCCGUAACUAUAACGGUCCUAAGGUAGCGAAAUUCCUUGUCGGGUAAGUUCCGACCUGCACGAAUGGCGUAAUGAUGGCCAGGCUGUCUCCACCCGAGACUCAGUGAAAUUGAACUCGCUGUGAAGAUGCAGUGUACCCGCGGCAAGACGGAAAGACCCCGUGAACCUUUACUAUAGCUUGACACUGAACAUUGAGCCUUGAUGUGUAGGAUAGGUGGGAGGCUUUGAAGUGUGGACGCCAGUCUGCAUGGAGCCGACCUUGAAAUACCACCCUUUAAUGUUUGAUGUUCUAACGUUGACCCGUAAUCCGGGUUGCGGACAGUGUCUGGUGGGUAGUUUGACUGGGGCGGUCUCCUCCUAAAGAGUAACGGAGGAGCACGAAGGUUGGCUAAUCCUGGUCGGACAUCAGGAGGUUAGUGCAAUGGCAUAAGCCAGCUUGACUGCGAGCGUGACGGCGCGAGCAGGUGCGAAAGCAGGUCAUAGUGAUCCGGUGGUUCUGAAUGGAAGGGCCAUCGCUCAACGGAUAAAAGGUACUCCGGGGAUAACAGGCUGAUACCGCCCAAGAGUUCAUAUCGACGGCGGUGUUUGGCACCUCGAUGUCGGCUCAUCACAUCCUGGGGCUGAAGUAGGUCCCAAGGGUAUGGCUGUUCGCCAUUUAAAGUGGUACGCGAGCUGGGUUUAGAACGUCGUGAGACAGUUCGGUCCCUAUCUGCCGUGGGCGCUGGAGAACUGAGGGGGGCUGCUCCUAGUACGAGAGGACCGGAGUGGACGCAUCACUGGUGUUCGGGUUGUCAUGCCAAUGGCACUGCCCGGUAGCUAAAUGCGGAAGAGAUAAGUGCUGAAAGCAUCUAAGCACGAAACUUGCCCCGAGAUGAGUUCUCCCUGACUCCUUGAGAGUCCUGAAGGAACGUUGAAGACGACGACGUUGAUAGGCCGGGUGUGUAAGCGCAGCGAUGCGUUGAGCUAACCGGUACUAAUGAACCGUGAGGCUUAACCUU